ensembl:lncRNA
AUGUUUCUCACCACUGUUUCCCGCUUACAGUGCGACUUCAUCUUCAGUGAGAGAUUCGGGCUUCUUUUCAUCCGCACCUUUGUCAUUCAAUUUCGGCCACAAAUGGGAUACAUCCAAGCAGAGGUGGGGCUCGAGUUCAACAACACGGCAUCACCCGAUCGAAUCCCACAGGCCGAUGUUGUUGCAGAAACCUUGAGAGUUGCUGUGAAUAACGCAAGCAACACCUUCAACCUCAGUAUCGAUCCAGCCUCCAUCGAAGUCAUUCGUAAGUAAACAUUUACCACGUGUACCUAAAUAUCCACCACAAAGUAUCAGUGCUUGGCAAUGUGCCAAAUAAUGUUUACCUUGACUCCUCAUUCACUGAUCUACACCUAUAGGAUCAACAACAACUACAAGGCCAAGGACAACUGGAAUCACUGCAGCUCCUUCACCAGUUGUGCUUCUCACAGCAACCCUGCAAGAACCAUUUGUAGAAGAACUCAACAAUCGCAGCAGCGCGGAAUACAGAAAUCUUGAAAGACAAGUUGUAGCAAUCGUACGUACAAUUUUAAGUAAAUUCAAACAAUUGUUGCUGUUGUGACUCAACUUUAAAUUUCUGUUUGAUUUCACUUAAAAAGCCCUGUGACUUUUAUGCUUCAUGUUUCUCACCACUGUUUCCCGCUUACAGUGCGACUUCAUCUUCAGUGAGAGAUUCGGGCUUCUUUUCAUCCGCACCUUUGUCAUUCAAUUUCGGUAACGUUUUCCCCCUUUAAGUCUCUGACCUAAAGUUAAUCAACUCAUAGCUAGAGAAGGAUCUUGUGGGAAUUGGUCAUGUGUAGUAAAGAAUUUGAGUGAAUUGUUAGAAAAAAAAAUUUAAAGUCAAAGUUUAGCAAACGUGAUAUUUUAAAAUAAAACCGGUUGAUUAAAGAAAUGUACUUUUGUGAUGCAAGGCCACAAAUGGGAUACAUCCAAGCAGAGGUGGGGCUCGAGUUCAACAACACGGCAUCACCCGAUCGAAUCCCACAGGCCGAUGUUGUUGCAGAAACCUUGAGAGUUGCUGUGAAUAACGCAAGCAACACCUUCAACCUCAGUAUCGAUCCAGCCUCCAUCGAAGUCAUUCGUAAGUAAACAUUUACCACGUGUACCUAAAUAUCCACCACAAAGUAUCAGUGCUUGGCAAUGUGCCAAAUAAUGUUUACCUUGACUCCUCAUUCACUGAUCUACACCUAUAGGAUCAACAACAACUACAAGGCCAAGGACAACUGGAAUCACUGCAGCUCCUUCACCAGUUGUGCUUCUCACAGCAACCCUGCAAGAACCAUUUGUAGAAGAACUCAACAAUCGCAGCAGCGCGGAAUACAGAAAUCUUGAAAGACAAGUUGUAGCAAUCGUACGUACAAUUUUAAGUAAAUUCAAACAAUUGUUGCUGUUGUGACUCAACUUUAAAUUUCUGUUUGAUUUCACUUAAAAAGCCCUGUGACUUUUAUGCUUCAUGUUUCUCACCACUGUUUCCCGCUUACAGUGCGACUUCAUCUUCAGUGAGAGAUUCGGGCUUCUUUUCAUCCGCACCUUUGUCAUUCAAUUUCGGUAACGUUUUCCCCCUUUAAGUCUCUGACCUAAAGUUAAU